rnacentral:misc_RNA from 1 species
AACGCACAUUGCGCCCCCUGGCAUUCCGGGGGGCAUGCCUGUCCGAGCGUCAUUUCUGCCCUCAAGCACGGCUUGUGUGUUGGGUGUGGUCCCCCCGGGGACCUGCCCGAAAGGCAGCGGCGACGUCCGUCUGGUCCUCGAGCGUAUGGGGCUUUGUCACUCGCUCGGGAAGGACCUGCGGGGGUUGGUCACCACCAUAUUUUACCACGGUUGACCUCGGAUCAGGUAGGAGUUACCCGCUGAACUUAA